UCCUCCGUCUUUCCCUUUUCUCACUCUGAGCUCAUUUCCUACAACCCUAGCACCGUUUCUCUCUCAUUUCCUAUCAAAUUCGAGAGACUUCUCUCUCCAUUUCUCUCAACCUAGCCCCAGCGCUGCUCACCCCAUUCCUCUUCAUCAUCUCAGUUAAAUCCGUUGAACAAUCACUGAUGCACCUCCACACGAACCCAUAUCGAAUUUUCCUCCUGCCCACGAACCAACCUCCAUAUCGUGGAUCCACCGUCCUUGCAAGUCGCCGACACCCACAAAUGAACUCAGAUACGACCAUCAAAAGUAGGGCGGAGCUCUCGAAGAUGUCAGAUUUGAGAAGGGAAAAGGAGCGGAGCGGAAUUUAAAAUGCGCGAGCUCUGCUUUCAGGCCUCCCUGAAACGCUUGCAGAAAGAUAGGUGCUUGGAUGGGAGUGGAUGUAGGAGCAGGGAGUGGUGCGAGGAGGGGAAGUAGUACCAUCAUCUGCUGUGUUGCAGUAGUGAAGUGAUCAGACGUCGGUAUGGCAUCUGCUAGCCUAGGGAAUGGUGGAGUUGGCAGUUCAAGGUAUGUUAGACAAUAGAUAUGGCAUAAGUGAUAAGCCAUUUUCCCUCUCUGCAAGUGUUAACCUCACCCUGUAUGGGAUUAUGAAAAGGAGGGGCUUUCUUUUUUGCGUUGCAAGGGAUAGAAGGAAACUUAAUUUACUAUAUUAGCCUUAUGAGUUUACGGACCUUCUAAUAUUUCAUAGUGGACCUGGAAGUGAUUUUCCAGGAACGGGAAAGGUAAUUGAGAUUAGUCUCUGAUUGUUUGAUCAUCCUCUAUAUAUUUGAUGAAGCUUCAACUAGCUUCUACCAGACAACCCCUCAUUUCUUUAUGGUAAUUGAGCUUCAUCUCUAAUUGUUUAUUGUCUGAUUAGGUUAUUAUAAUAUUUGGGUUGUUGGAUAUGUUGGAUUUGAAUUGAUUUUUUGUUUUCAUUUUUCAUGGUGAUGGAUUUUCGAAUGAAAUGCACUCAACCCUGAAUUCCAGUGGGGUGGCUGAAGCAGCUGCCGGAUAUGACUUAUGGCAGCCAAGGGGAUCACUACAGUGUGGGAGUCAAAAUGACCACACUACCCCAUCAAGGGUUCAGAUCUUGCCGUCAGGUGAUAUGAGAGGGGGUUGGAUGGUAAUUUUGUCCGUAGGGUUUCGGACGGAUUGGGAUGGGUUAGGGACUUUGUUCAUUUAGUUUGUUUCUGUGAGAGAGAGAGAGAGAGAGAGAGAGAGAGAGGAUGUCAGUGUCGAUCUUUGAUUCAGUGAGUGAGAGUGUGACGGUGAAAGAGGGGGAUCAUCGGGAUUUCAGGGAGAGAAACACAGAGAGAGGGGUGAUGGUGAACAGGCGCGAGUAUGGUCCCUUAGUCCAGGAUUCACUCUUCAUCGUCCAUACUCUAUUGCAUGCUCAGAUAAGUGUCUUUUUCAAUUACAUUUUGUACUAAAAUCUUUUUUUUUUUAUUGUUUCUUGCAUUUAUAUCUGCGUGAAUGUGGUGAUUGAAAAGCCCAAAAAAAAUUUUCCAAAUCUUUUUGUACUGUUUUGUUAGGUGAGGCAUCAUGGUUUUUGGUUUUUUUUUUUUUUAAUCGGUUGGGGGAUUUUCUGGGCGUCUUUUUAUUUUUUUCCCCUUUGGUUUGUUUUUCAUUCUGGGUUCCCACUCUUUCAUUAGAGAGUACAAAAAUUCCAAAGGUAAACAUCCAAUCCCUUGCUUCGCUUUUCUGUCCAUAAUCAAGAAUCGGUGAAAUAAGUGUGGUUCUUGGAUCUGCGGUCUGAAACAAAAAAAUAUGUCUAUUCUCUGUGCCAGCUAAUGUAUCCGUGAUUUCUUUCCAGGAUGCUACUGCAACACUCAAGUCCGUUUGGAAAAUGGAGAGCACACGACUUAAGUAUCUCGGACCCAAGGUAAAAUAUACUCAAUCUUCAAUCCUGCUUAGCAGCAGCAAUCACCACCUGUUUCAUGAAAGGAGAACGAUUUGGAGCAAGUGACUCAAAAAGUUAAACUUUGAUAUUAAAAUUAAUGGAAACCCAUCGAUUGUGUUGUAAUGGGUCUUUUUGGAAAACAAUUCUUAAGACCAAUUGUGAGGUUUGUUCUUAUAUGGUACAUGAGUGUUUUUAUAAUUCUUUUGCACAGUUGUUAGUAUUUGUAGUUGUGAUUGGUGUUGUCCUACAUAUUUGGCUUGAAGAAAUAAGACACUACUUUUGAUAAACCA